rnacentral:hammerhead_ribozyme from 1 species
AUUCGGCUGACGAGGCCCAAAUAGGACGAAACGCACGUCUUGGAU